AGGAGAUUAAAAUAAAGGGGGGCAGGGAGCCUCUGAGAAGUGCUGGCUGCGAGGUUUCUAGUUGCCAUACACAGAGGCAAACAAUGCGGCCUGGCGCCCCGUUCCCACACCUCCCGCAGCCUGGACCCGGGUCCAGGCCGGCCCGGCUGUUUUCAUGGCAGGUUGCAUUCUGGGUGGCAGGUGGGAGGGUGGCCUGCUGCUGGGGACAUUUCUGGGGGCUCUCCAGGCCGAGGGCCGGGAGAGCGGCCCUGCACCCUUCUUCAGCUCAGGAGGGUCUGGGGUCGGCAGAGGACGAAGGGUGCGCACCUCCAUGGCACCGUGGCGACAGAAGCGCUCCAUCGGGCCAGGAAAUCACCGUAGCUCGCCUCGUUCUUGACCGUGACUGUUUAGGCUAAGCAGCAGGGCGCAUUCACUCACUCACUCCUUCAUUAAUGCGAGUAACACUGACUACAGGCCUGGGAGGCUUUGGUGCAACACCAAGUUCUUCCUCACCAGGAGCUAGCGAUGGGGCGGACGCACAUGAUGAGGAAGUGCGGGAACACGGGGAGGUGAGAUGCUAACGGGGCACUCUCGAUUUCGGAGGCCUCUCUGAGGGUGACUGAUACAACCCGGCUGGCCAUUCGAGAGGCAAGCAAGGGAGAGGGUUCCAGGCCAGGAGGGCAGCAAAGCCCUGAGGCUUAAUAGGCUCUUUGUGGACUGGUGGAUAGAACACUUGAACUGGAGUCAGCCAGACCUGAGUUCGAGACCUGAUUCUGCCACUCAAAGGCUUUAGUGUCCUCUUGUGACUCUACAGUCACUCGAUCCGCAGGGCCCCUCCCAAGCAUCUUGGCAAAAGGAGACAGAAGUGGGUUGUCUUGCCAACAUCAUGACACCCUCGGCCAACACAACACUCCACCCUGGGCACAGAGCCUGGUUUGGAGAAGUGGCCCUUGCUCUGAGAUCAUCCAGCCCUGCCCUCCUGACCUGGGCAGGUGCUUCCCCUUUCUGGACCUCAGUUUCCUCAUGGAUCCCUCCUUCCUGUUCAACUGCCAGGACUAGACACCCUCCAUGCCGAAGCCUGGGAAGGCUCUGGAAACCUUGGCAUUUGUUUAUGCUAGAUCAGGAAGACAUGGCAGGGAGGAGACACACUUUCUGGGAAGAGUCCCGGAGGGGUCCUGGGUCUUGGGAAGCUUCAGUGUUCACAUCUCCGGUCGGAAGUAGUGGGAGCAGUACGUCACACAGUAGCUGCCGAGACCGAACGACCAUGCGCAAUGUUGGAACGUCAUAUGGUUGAAAUCAUCUGGUGGGUAGCCUUCUCGGUCUGGCGUCUUUCACUUAGGAAUACACAUUUAAGUUCCCUCGGAGUUGUUCCAUGGCUUGGGAGUUUGUUUCCUAGUGGCGCUGAAUUCUACUCCAUUGUCUGGAUGCGCCAGUGUACUCAUCCCCUCCCCUCCUGACGGACGCCUGGCUUGCUUCCAAGUUGUAGCAGUUAUGAAUAAAGCCGCUAUCAACAUCGAUGCGCAGGUUUCUGCAUGAACAGAAAAUUUCAGUCCCCUGGGUGUGACUCCCCCCAUUUUACCGGUGAGGGACCUGAGGCCCAGAGAGGAGUGACCUGCCCAAGGUGACAGAGCUGGGAAGACGCAGGGCUGAAGUCAAGCACAGGUACUAGGAAGCGAAGACCAGCUGGGUGCGGAGCAGACUCUGGGUAAGGAGGUGAGUGGGUCACCUGGCCGGCUGUCCUGGAACUCGGAGUCCAGCUGGGUGGCAGACUACACAGCUAAUUAGGACCUGCAGGAACCGCCCUGACGGCCGAGUAGGCAGAGCUGAUGAUGGGAUGGCCUCCCCACUGCAGGCGGUGAAGCUGGAGCCACACCUCGAGGACCGUGCAGGGCCUCUCUGGGUGAAGACCAGGAAGGUGCCCCCAGCAGAGGGCUCGGGGCUCGGAGGUGUGUGGGCCUGAGGGAGGGCGCGCCGCUUACUUGUCUGGGAAGAUGGGCAGGGCAGAGUGGCCACGGGCAGGCUGCCAUCUACCACAGGGUCUGCAGGUGAGGCAUGAAGCUGGAGAGGUCUGUAGAAAUCAGGGACGGAGGACCUGGAAGGCCAAGCCAGGACUGGGGCAGGAUCCUGGACCACUGGGGAGCCACCGGGAGUCCAGAGGAAAGGAUGCCAUGGCCAGGUUGCAUUCAGGGAGGUCACACUGGGCACCCAGCUUGGCGGAGCAGGUCUGGGGUCGCAUCUGAGGACGUGCACGACUCUGGGCCUACAGGCUCCCUCCCCCAGGGCCCUGCCCCAUCCAGAGCCAUC